rnacentral:rRNA from 1 species
CAGAGGGGGCAAGCGUUAUUCGGAGUUAUUGGGCGUAAAGGGCGCGUAGGCGGCUUUUCAAGUGGCGGGUGAAAUCCCUCGGCUUAACCGAGGAACUGCCUGCCAGACUGAAUGGCUUGAGACCGGGAGAGGUGAGUGGAAUUCCCAGUGUAGCGGUGAAAUGCGUAGAUAUUGGGAGGAACACCAGUGGCGAAGGCGGCUCACUGGACCGGUACUGACGCUGAGGCGCGAAAGCGUGGGGAGCAAACAGGAUUAGAUACCCUGGUAGUCCACGCCGUAAACGAUGAGUGCUUGGUGUAGCGGGUAUCGACCCCUGCUGUGCCGACGUCAACACAUUAAGCACUCCGCCUGGGGAGUACGGUCGCAAGACUG